UGGGGCGUAGCCAAGUGGUAAGGCAGCGGAUUUUGAUUCCGCCAUUCGGAGGUUCGAUCCCUCCCGCCCCAGCCA
rnacentral:tRNA from 17 species